UCGGGGAAUUUUGGGCAAUGGGCGAAAGCCUGACCCAGCAACGCCGCGUGAAGGAUGAAGUAUUUCGGUAUGUAAACUUCGUAAGAAUAGGAAGAAUAAAUGACGGUACUAUUUGUAAGGUCCGGCUAACUACGUGCCAGCAGCCGCGGUAAUACGUAGGGACCAAGCGUUGUUCGGAUUUACUGGGCGUAAAGGGCGCGUAGGCGGUGUGUCAAGUCAGUUGUGAAAUCUCCGAGCUUAACUCGGAACGGUCAACUGAUACUGUCACACUAGAGUACAGAAGGGGCAAUCGGAAUUCUUAGGUGUAGCGGUGAAAUGCGUAGAUAUCAAGAGGAACACCUGAGGCGAAGGCGGGUUGCUGGGCUGAUACUGACGCUGAGGCGCGAAAGCUAGGGUAGCAAACGGGAUUAGAUACCCAGGUAGUCCCUGAGCGGGCUGGCAAGGCGCAU
rnacentral:rRNA from 1 species